rnacentral:rRNA from 1 species
UACAGAGGGGGCAAGCGUUGUUCGGAAUUACUGGGCGUAAAGGGCGCGUAGGCGGCCUGCUAAGUCGAACGUGAAAUCCCCGGGCUCAACCCGGGAACUGCGUCCGAUACUGGUUGGCUUGAAUCCGGGAGAGGGAUGCGGAAUUCCAGGUGUAGCGGUGAAAUGCGUAGAUAUCUGGAGGAACACCGGUGGCGAAGGCGGCAUCCUGGACCGGCAUUGACGCUGAGGCGCGAAAGCGUGGGGAGCGAACAGG